UUAGGAAUCUUGCGCAAUGGACGAAAGUCUGACGCAGCGACGCCGCGUGCGGGAUGAAGGCCCUCGGGUUGUAAACCGCUUUCAGCAGGGACGAAAUUGACGGUACCUGCAGAAGAAGCCCCGGCCAACUACGUGCCAGCAGCCGCGGUAAUACGUAGGGGGCAAGCGUUGUCCGGAUUUAUUGGGCGUAAAGAGCUCGUAGGUGGUUCGGUAAGUCGGAUGUGAAAUCUCCAGGCUCAACCUGGAGGGGUCAUUCGAUACUGCCGUGACUAGAGGUCGGUAGGGGAGUGUGGAAUUCCUGGUGGAGCGGUGAAAUGCGCAGAUAUCAGGAGGAACACCCGUAGCGAAGGCGGCACUCUGGGCCGAUACUGACACUGAGGAGCGAAAGCGUGGGGAGCGAACAG
rnacentral:rRNA from 1 species